CAGUAGCCGCGGGAAUACGUAGGUGGCAAGCGUUGUCCGGAACUAUUGGGCGUAAAGGGCUCGCAGGCGGUUUCUUAAGUCUGAUGUGAAAGCCCCCGGCUCAACCGGGGAGGGUCAUUGGAAACUGGGAAACUUGAGUGCAGAAGAGGAGAGUGGAAUUCCACGUGUAGCGGUGAAAUGCGUAGAGAUGUGGAGGAACACCAGUGGCGAAGGCGACUCUCUGGUCUGUAACUGACGCUGAGGAGCGAAAGCGUGGGGAGCGAACAGGAUUAGAUACCCGUGUAGUCCCUGUCUCUUAUAC
rnacentral:rRNA from 1 species